rnacentral:rRNA from 1 species
UAGCUACAGGCUUAACACAUGCAAGUCGAGGGGAAACGACAUCGAAAGCUUGCUUUUGAUGGGCGUCGACCGGCGCACGGGUGAGUAACGCGUAUCCAACCUGCCCAUCACUUGGGGAUAACCUUGCGAAAGUAAGACUAAUACCCAAUGACGUCUCUAGAAGACAUCUGAAAGGGAUUAAAGAUUUAUCGGUGAUGGAUGGGGAUGCGUCUGAUUAGCUUGUUGGCGGGGUAACGGCCCACCAAGGCGACGAUCAGUAGGGGUUCUGAGAGGAAGGUCCCCCACAUUGGAACUGAGACACGGUCCAAACUCCUACGGGAGGCAGCAGUGAGGAAUAUUGGUCAAUGGGCGAGAGCCUGAACCAGCCAAGUAGCGUGCAGGAUGACGGCCCUAUGGGUUGUAAACUGCUUUUAUAAGGGAAUAAAGUGAGUCUCGUGAGACUUUUUGCAUGUACCUUAUGAAUAAGGACCGGCUAAUUCCGUGCCAGCAGCCGCGGUAAUACGGAAGGUCCGGGCGUUAUCCGGAUUUAUUGGGUUUAAAGGGAGCGUAGGCCGGAGAUUAAGCGUGUUGUGAAAUGUAGACGCUCAACGUCUGCACUGCAGCGCGAACUGGUUUCCUUGAGUACGCACAAAGUGGGCGGAAUUCGUGGUGUAGCGGUGAAAUGCUUAGAUAUCACGAAGAACUCCGAUUGCGAAGGCAGCUCACUGGAGCGCAACUGACGCUGAAGCUCGAAAGUGCGGGUAUCGAACAGGAUUAGAUACCCUGGUAGUCCGCACGGUAAACGAUGGAUGCCCGCUGUUGGUCUGAAUAGGUCAGCGGCCAAGCGAAAGCAUUAAGCAUCCCACCUGGGGAGUACGCCGGCAACGGUGAAACUCAAAGGAAUUGACGGGGGCCCGCACAAGCGGAGGAACAUGUGGUUUAAUUCGAUGAUACGCGAGGAACCUUACCCGGGCUUGAAUUGCAGAGGAAGGAUUUGGAGACAAUGACGCCCUUCGGGGCCUCUGUGAAGGUGCUGCAUGGUUGUCGUCAGCUCGUGCCGUGAGGUGUCGGCUUAAGUGCCAUAACGAGCGCAACCCCUCUCCUUAGUUGCCAUCAGGUCAAGCUGGGCACUCUGGGGACACUGCCACCGUAAG